AAGUAGAACCCACCCCUGAUCCCCUUCCAUGAAACAUGAAGCCAAGCUAGCAAUCCUUGAAUUGAAUGGGGUUCAUCAUCUGAUAGAACAGAUCAUUUGGAAUGUGACUAGAUGGGCACACCGUAUAUAAAUCUGCUACAAAAAUGUCUAUUAAAGAUGAAGUCCCUGCCUCGAAAUCAUUUCCACUCAGAACAGAUGCCGCAAUGGAUUGGUGUAACAGCUAUAAUUAUCGUGAUUAUAGGCAAUAAUUUACGUUUUCUUUUGCAAUAUAUUGAAGAGUGGGAUGCAUUUCAGAUGCUUUUCACAAACAUCUCUGUAUUCCAAACAAGAGUUAUUAGGGUACUCUGUGCGUCAACCCAGAGAUUGGGAUUCAUAUCGUUUGGACAUAUCCCAGCGUGAGAAUACCGGAUUGGAGGCAAAGCUGAGCUUUUGAGCAG